rnacentral:rRNA from 1 species
UGGGGAAUAUUGGACAAUGGGCGGAAGCCUGAUCCAGCAACGCCGCGUGAGGGAUGACGGCCUUCGGGUUGUAAACCUCUUUCAGUACCGACGAAGCGGAAGUGACGGUAGGUACAGAAGAAGCACCGGCCAACUACGUGCCAGCAGCCGCGGUAAUACGUAGGGUGCGAGCGUUGUCCGGAAUUAUUGGGCGUAAAGGGCUCGUAGGCGGUUUGUCGCGUCGGGAGUGAAAACACUGGGCUUAACUCAGUGCUUGCUUCCGAUACGGGCAGACUAGAGGCAUGCAGGGGAGAACGGAAUUCCUGGUGUAGCGGUGAAAUGCGCAGAUAUCAGGAGGAACACCGGUGGCGAAGGCGGUUCUCUGGGCAUGUCCUGACGCUGAGGAACGAAAGUGUGGGGAGCGAACAGGAUUAGAUACCCUGGUAGUCCACACCGUAAACGUUGGGCGCUAGGUGUGGGGGCCUAUUCCAUGGGUUCCGUGCCGCAGCUAACGCAUUAAGCGCCCCGCCUGGGGAGUACGGCCGCAAGGCUAAAAACUCAAAUGAAUUGACGGGGUCAUAGCUGUUUCCU